rnacentral:lncRNA from 1 species
GCGUUUGAAGGUUUUACGUAUAGUUUGUUUUUGAAACGGAACAUUUACAUAACACUUGGUAAACAAGUUAUACAACAUUAGUAUGCAUGUUGUGAUUGUGAUGAUCAAACUUGAGAAACGGAAAUCCGACCGUCAGAUCUGACCAUCAUGAUAAAAUACAUGUAUGGGAAAAAAUUCAACUUGAUCCGAAAAGAAUAAGGGCUCGAUCCGGACGGUCAAUCUUGUAAGUCAAACCCCUAAACGCACGGAAAAGGUCGUUCGACCGUCUAAAUUACGUAUUUUGGCCGGACCUCCAACUGAAAAUAGUUUUAAACCAAUGACAUGCAACUAGUCGUAUAAAAAUUUUACGCAAAAUAACCACCGAAUAUAGGACUAUAGUAGGUAAUAGAAAAAUUUUAGGGUUUAGCCGACGAAUACCCUAACGUAUUCGUCGGGUAUAGUGUGUAAUUAAAAAAUUAAAAAAUAACUAGAGCCGACGAAAUAUUAGGUUAUUCGUCGGCAAAAACCAUGUUAGCCGACGAAUUAUAGUGUAUUCGUCGGCUAUACUAUGUAAUUAAAAAUUAAAAAUAACUAUAGCCGACGAAUUAAACUAUAAUUAUAUUUCGUCGGCUAAAGGAAAAAAAACAUUAAAAAACAGACGAUAUUAGUAAACCAUACUAACUUCCUGUUCAUCAUGUAUCACCAAAAUUCAUAUAAAAUAACUGAAAUAUGAAUUCAACAUGUGUAAACUAUAAAGGAAAAGGUCUUUAUUUAAUUAAUUAGUUAUACAAUGCAAAUUAAUGGAUUUCGUCCUCUAAAUUAAAACUAAGGCUCGUAAUCGGAAUCAUCCGAUGAGUCUUCUUCGGUGUCAGAAUUAAUUUCUGGUAAUAUAUGUCUUUCCUCAUCGCCAGAGUCUUCGUCUGUUUCUUGAUUUGGAUCAACAUCAAUAAGCCUUGGCUCUUCAUCACGAAUUCGCACCGAACGACCCGCUUUAAAAUUAUUAAGGUCGAACGGUAGAGGAGUUAGGAAUACCUAUUGCGUCGGGC